rnacentral:tRNA from 1 species
UGGCUCAGUGGUAGAGUGCUUGCCUCUCAUACAAGAGUCCCUGGGUUCGAUUCCCCAG